GAUGAACGCUGGCGGCGUGCUUAACACAUGCAAGUCGAACGAGAAAUGUAGACGGAAACCUUCGGGCGGAAGCCUUCAUUUCGAGUGGCGGACGGGUGAGUAACGCGUGGGUAACCUGCCUCAUACAGGGGGAUAACAGUUGGAAACGACUGUUAAUACCGCAUAAGACCACAGCAUCGCAUGAUGCGGGGGUAAAAACUCCGGUGGUAUGAGAUGGACCCGCGUUCGAUUAGCCAGUUGGCGGGGUAACGGCCCACCAAAGCGACGAUCGAUAGCCGAUCUGAGAGGAUGACCGGCCACAUUGGGACUGAGGCACGGCCCAAACUCCUACGGGAGGCAGCAGUGGGGAAUAUUGCACAAUGGGGGAAACCCUGAUGCAGCGACGCCGCGUGAGUGAAGAAGUACUUCGGUAUGUAAAGCUCUAUCAGCAGGGAAGAAAAUGACGGUACCUGAGUAAGAAGCCCCGGCUAACUACGUG
rnacentral:rRNA from 1 species